UCAGCUAAAGUCCAAACACGCGAUUUUUUUUUUUUUUAUAUAGUGAAUUCUAUCCAUCAUAUUACAUGGAAAAUAUCUGUAAUUUUUCCAAACUUAUCCAACCACCAAAAUGCACUUUAAAACUGAUGAAAAGUGCAACCAGACUAGUGACACACAUUCCAUCGAAUGAAGAGAAAAGAAAACCCACCAAAAACAGAUUAUCCAAAAGUGAUCAAAUCCAACAGAUUGUUGGUUAUCCCGACACGCCAACAAACUUGUCCUUGGGGAUUGCAUUUUAAGAGAAAACGGUUUCUCAUAACCGUUGGAAAUUAUAUAUAGUCUAUAUAUUCAUAUGAUAGUUUCUAAUAUAUAAUAAUAUUAUUAUUUCAAAUUUACAUUAUAAAUAAGAGUUAUCUGACACAUGAUGUGAAAGUCACCUAAAAAGAUGUUUAAAAAAAAGGGUAAAUUGCGCACAGUAGCCGUUGACUCACUUUUAAUUUUAGAUUUUGACAUUGUGGGCUGGGCCUUUCAUUUCUUAGCCAUUCAGCCAAAAACUGAUCAAAAUGCCCCUGACGAAACUGAACCCGGUUUGUACGUACGGACCGCGUCGUUGGAAUCCAAGAGAACCGGAUUUGUACGUACACUGUUCAUCGACGAGAAAUGCAUUAAAUGUUUUCUAGGUUUCGGCGAAUUUGACACUUGAGAUUGAAAUUAAAAAUUUUAAAAAUUGGUUGGGCUCAGAAGUUUUUCAUGCUAAAAAGUUUUGACAAAACUAAAACUCAUGAUUACCUAUUAUAAUAGAGAUUAUAUUGUAAGAUAUUUACAUAAUUGAGAUUAGAAUUCUGAGAAAAAAACGAAAAUCGAAAUUGUGUUACGGUGAAGAAUCUGAAGUUUUCAGUUGCUGUUUUACAAAGUUUGAAGGAUUGAAGGAGAGACAAUCUGUGUUCUGGGUAAGAAAUUCGUGUUAAUCCUAUUAAUUACACUUGAGAACGUGAUAUGAAAGUAAUGAUACGUUUUUAAAAAUUUCUGGGUUCAUAAAUUGUUUUGUUGGAGAUUCUUUUUGUAUUUGUAGAUAUAAAUGAAAGCUCUAUGAUCUGUUUUGUUAAAUUUAUAAGUACAUAAAUUGUUUUGUUAGAGAUUCUUUUUGUCUUCGUUGAUAUAAAUGAAAGCCUUCAAAAAUAUCUUUUGUAUUUAAUGUUGUUCUGACCUGAGGAAUUUAUGUUGCAGGUAUGGAGUUACCUGUAUUAAUUAUGGUUGGUGAGUGGAUAUACAAAGAAGAAGGUUGGAAAUUUGAAGCUGAAAAAGGAAGUUUCGGACGCUGUGUACGUAUUACAGACACAACGACGUACACGGAUUUGGCAAGUACAAUAUGUGAUGUUUUCAGCUAUAAGUUUAGUGAAUGGAACCCUAUAAUAAGUUACUGGAUGCCUGGAAAGAUGUCUGAUAUGAUAGCAAGUAAUCGCCCUCCAGUAUAUAUUGAGAAUCAAAUCAGCCUGGAUACAUUUAUGUUGAUUCGUAAUGGCGAUCUUUCUGUUAACUUGUUUUUGUCUUUUUACCUUAUCGGCAAGGGAGGCCAUACAGAAACAGGGUUACAAAUGUUGAUGCAGCUCAUAAUUUUUACGAAGAUAUAAAUGUAGAUGAGGAGGAUGACAUAGAUGAAGGUGAUGAGGAUGAAUAUGAGGACGAGGAUAAUGUAAAGGACGAAGAUAUGGAUGUACAUGACGAUGACACCGAUGGUGAAAGCCGUGGAAGUACCCUCGACCCUACAGUAGACGGUAGUGAAGGUAGUGGCGAAGAUUACGAUUACAAUAAAUGGGGUGACAUGAUUGUGGAACAAUAUGGAAAUGGUCAUGUUAAGGAGGACGUCGUGAAUGACACUCAACAAACCGUGGAACCCCCAGGGGAAUUCACUCGUCUAUUGGCAUCGUGUACGUCGACGAGUACACAUGUACCUCACGUAGAACCCACUGGUGUUUUGGUUGACAGUACACCCACCUCUGCUCCAUCCCCGAUGUGUCAACAUGGUUUGUACCAAUGUACGUACACUAGAGUCUGUGCAGAGUAGACAAGAUGCGAAGGUGAAUUAGUUGAGCACACAGAUGAUAUAGCUGAGAACGUAACUGGAGAUGAUGGUAUAGUCGGAUGGAGUAUACGCGCUUUUGUGGUCUGGGUGUUUCAAAAAUGCGUGGGAAUAAAUGAGUUCGACCUGGGUCUCAUCUUGGCAGAUAAUCGAGUAAUAUUUUGCCAAUGUGUUUAUAACGUUUUUUACUUUCACAUACCGUACAUGUCACUAAUCAUGAUGAUUUGUUGUAGGGAAUGCGUUCCCGCAUAGAGACUACCAAUAAUCGUCGCCUUGCUUCAUUUUACUCUGACCGUAAUAAUAUAUACGUACACUAUAGUAAUGUGUACGUACAUGGUAGUAAUGUGUACGUACACCGGAGUAAUGUGUACGUAUACGGGAGUAAUGUGUGUGUAUAUAUGUACGUAAAUAUCUAAAUAAUUUGUAUAUUUACGGUUCAAAUUUUUUUUGACCAUAAAAUCAAAACAUUCAAAUCAUGUAUGAACAACACAUGAAAAAAGUACAUGAAACUAACAUAUAUAUCAAAUUUGUUGUUGUGGUUGGUUAGAUAUU
rnacentral:sRNA from 1 species